GAGUUUGAUCCUGGCUCAGAACGUACGCUGGCGGCACGCCUAACACAUGCAAGUCGAACGAAGUAGCAAUACUUAGUGGCAGACGGGUGAGUAACAUGUAGGUAUCUGCCCUUUGGCCUGGAAUAACACGAGGAAACUUGUGCUAAUACCGGAUAAGUCUUUACGGAGAAAGCUUUAUGCACCAUUGGAUGAGCCUGCACUUGAUUAGUUUGUUGGUGGGGUAAUGGCCUACCAAGACUAUGAUCAAUAGCUGAUUUGAGAGGAUGAUCAGCCACAUUGGGACUGAGACACGGCCCAAACUCCUACGGGAGGCAGCAGUGGGGAAUCUUGCACAAUGGAGGAAACUCUGAUGCAGCGAUGCCGCGUGAGUGAAGAAGGCCCUUGGGUUGUAAAGCUCUUUCGUCGGGGAAGAAAAUGACUGUACCCGAAUAAGAAGGUCCGGUUAACUUCGUGCCAGCAGCCGCGGUAAUACGAAGGGACCUAGCGUAGUUCGGAAUUACUGGGCUUAAAGAGUUCGUAGGUGGUUGAAAAAGUUGGUGGUGAAAUCCCAGAGCUUAACUCUGGAACUGCCAUCAAAACUUUUCAGCUAGAGUAUGAUAGAGGAAAGCAGAAUUUCUAGUGUAGAGGUGAAAUUCGUAGAUAUUAGAAAGAAUACCAAUUG
rnacentral:rRNA from 1 species